UACGUAGGGUGCGAGCGUUGUCCGGAAUUAUUGGGCGUAAAGAGCUUGUAGGCGGUUUGUCGCGUCUGCUGUGAAAAUCCGGGGCUCAACCCCGGACUUGCAGUGGGUACGGGCAGGACUAGAGUGUGGUAGGGGAGACUGGAAUUCCUGGUGUAGCGGUGAAAUGCGCAGAUAUCAGGAGGAACACCGAUGGCGAAGGCAGGUCUCUGGGCAUUAACUGACGCUGAGGAGCGAAAGCAUGGGGAGCGAA
rnacentral:rRNA from 1 species